rnacentral:tRNA from 1 species
GACCCCGUAGCUCAACCGGAUAGAGCGCGCGCCUCCUAAGCGCGAGGUUGCAGGUUCAAGUCCUGCCGGGGUCGCCA